rnacentral:lncRNA from 1 species
AAUCUCAUUUAUAUAAUUCAUUCAAUAGUGACAAAAUCCAUACAUCAAAAAUUUAAUUCAAGUACUUGAAGUUCCAAACGAAAGAAACUAAUGUAGUUCAAACAUUCAAAAAUUAAAAUAUAAAUAUUAGUAGAGUGGUUAAACAUAACAGCACGUCAAAAUAAGUUCAAAAAAUAUCUAAAUAUCCCUAGUAUGUGAUGUUGCUUCAUAAUCCUUAAUUAGUGUGCACUAGACUCAGAAACGCCUAUCAUCGCUUGACUCUUCUUAUUCGGUUACCUGGAAAAACAUAAGUAUAUAUUAGGAUACUUAAAAAAGCGAACUGAAUUGUACAAAUUGACUUGGUCCAUGACAUAAUUCCACAAGAUAAUGGUAUUUAACAUAAUGCAUCUCUUUUCUAAGCAGAUCAAAUAAAUGAACUCAUAACAGAACAAAUUCUUUUUUAAAAGCCAAUGAAUAAUUUAUUAAUGAAAGAGAGAGACAAGAUAUACCAAAGAGUUACAAUACAACACUUAAAAUCAUACAAACACAUGAUUACAAUGCCAAAGUGACUCAAUCAUUAACAACCCCAGAGUUAUAGCAACCCACAAAAGAUAACAAAUAAGAGCAACAAAAUUAAGCCCCAUCAAAACAACUCCCAGGCCUAAGACAUGAUUAUAAAGCUAACCUAAAUGGUAGAGACAAGCUGCAAUCAAUUAACUCCCAUGCCUCUUUUCAAAUUGCAAAUUUUUUUUGUAAGCACAGUAGUGUGUCAUACCAGAAUCUAUUCAAUCAAAUAUAAAUAGAAAUGACGAUGAACUGAACAUAAGAGGAGAUAAAAGAGGAGAGAGUUUUACCUCUAUGCUCGAACCAUGCUUGGAAAGUAAAGGACAUACUUGAAAAAAUCAGUAGGAUUUUACAAAGAACCAUCCAAGUUCAUAACUCCAGUAUGCAUAUUCUUUAGCCUGCACAUUGGAGAAAAGGUUUAAUUGUCAUAGAGAAUAAAUUCAUCAACAAUAUUACUACACAUGGCUUGGAAUGAUGGGUGUCAUAGAGCAUAGUUACUGAAAUGUUGGAGAUGGGUGUGAUAUUAAGCCAUGGAAUGAUGCUUGGAUUGAAGAAGGUCUUUGUUUGCAGCAUGAAGUAGACAUUACUCAGCAUGAAGUAGACAUUCCCCCUCAUGUGGAUAAUGGAAGGGAUGAGAGAAUU